GACGUAGGAUGCGAGCGUUGUCCGGAUUUAUUGGGCGUAAAGAGUUCGUAGGCGGUUCGUUAAGUCUGAUGUUAAAGACUGGGGCCCAACCCUGGGAGUGCAUUGGAUACUGGCGGACUGGAGUGCAGUAGAGGCAAGCGGAAUUCCCAGUGUAGCGGUGAAAUGCGUAGAUAUUGGGAAGAACACCGGUGGCGAAGGCGGCAUCCUGGACCAAUUCUGACGCUGAGGAGCGAAAGCCAGGGGAGCAAACGGG
rnacentral:rRNA from 1 species